rnacentral:sRNA from 1 species
AUGGAGUCCCGGCGAGCUUUGUGCGCAUGUGCGGGGAGGACAGGCUGCGGGAGGAGCUGCAGGACUGAGGUACAGAGGCCAGGGGCCCAGGGCGGGACCCAGCCUGGACUUGACUCCCUGGGAUCCCAGGAAGGGCACACCCUUUCCUCACCACCUGAGUGAGCGCUGCCCCCUCACAGAGACCUCUUUGCCCCCUGGGCCAGGCAGAGCAGGCGCUGCGGUCCGGGAGGCCCCAUGGAGGUGGCGGUGCCUGUGAAGCAGGAGGCCGAGGGCCUGGCGCUGGACUCGCCGUGGCACCGCUUCCGCCGCUUCCACCUGGGCGACGCGCCGGGCCCGCGGGAGGCGCUGGGGCUGCUCCGCGCCCUGUGCCGGGACUGGCUGCGGCCCGAGGUGCACACCAAGGAGCAGAUGUUGGAGCUGCUGGUGCUGGAACAGUUCCUGAGCGCGCUGCCCGCCGACACGCAGGCCUGGGUGUGCAGCCGGCAGCCGCAGAGCGGGGAGGAGGCGGUGGCCCUGCUGGAGGAGCUCUGGCAUCAGUGACCACAGAAGACAUCUGUGACCAAAUGUUGGA